AUUGAACGCUGGCGGCAGGCUUAACACAUGCAAGUCGAGCGGUAGCACAAGAGAGCUUGCUCUCUGGGUGACGAGCGGCGGACGGGUGAGUAAUGUCUGGGAAACUGCCUGAUGGAGGGGGAUAACUACUGGAAACGGUAGCUAAUACCGCAUAACGUCGCAAGACCAAAGUGGGGGACCUUCGGGCCUCACACCAUCGGAUGAACCCAGAUGGGAUUAGCUAGUAGGCGGGGUAAAGGCCCACCUAGGCGACGAUCUCUAGCUGGUCUGAGAGGAUGACCAGCCACACUGGAACUGAGACACGGUCCAGACUCCUACGGGAGGCAGCAGUGGGGAAUAUUGCACAAUGGGCGCAAGCCUGAUGCAGCCAUGCCGCGUGUGUGAAGAAGGCCUUCGGGUUGUAAAGCACUUUCAGCGAGGAGGAAGGCGUUGUAGUUAAUAACUGCAGCGAUUGACGUUACUCGCAGAAGAAGCACCGGCUAACUCCGUGCCAGCAGCCGCAGUAACAC
rnacentral:rRNA from 1 species